rnacentral:rRNA from 1 species
CGGAGGGAUGAAAGCCAAGGCUGAAGACCUUGACCCUCGGAUUCUCCGAGAGGUGGUGCAUGGCCGUCGUCAGUUCGUACCGUAAGGCGUUCUGUUAAGUCAGAUAACGAACGAGACCCUCGCCGUUAGUCGCGAUCUUACAAGCGAUUGUAGGAGCACACUAGCGGGAUCGCUGCCGUUAAGGCAGAGGAAGGAGAGGUCUACGGUAGGUCCGUAUGCCCCGAAUCUUCCGGGCAACACGCGCGCUACAAAGGUGGGGACAAUGGGACCCGACCUCGAAAGGGGGAGGCAAUCCUGAAACCCCAUCGUAGUCUGGAUCGAGGGCUGUAACUCGCCCUCGUGAAAAUGGAUUCCGUAGUAAUCGCGGGUCAACAUCCCGCGGUGAAUGUGCCCCUGCUCUUUGCACACACCGCCCGUCAACUCAUCCGAGUUGGGUCGGAGUGAGGGUGCCUCAUCC